GACGAACGCUGGCGGCGUGCUUAACACAUGCAAGUCGAACGGAAAGGCCCUGCUUUUGUGGGGUGCUCGAGUGGCGAACGGGUGAGUAACACGUGAGUAACCUGCCCUUGACUUUGGGAUAACUUCAGGAAACUGGGGCUAAUACCGGAUAGGAGCUCCUGCUGCAUGGUGGGGGUUGGAAAGUUUCGGCGGUUGGGGAUGGACUCGCGGCUUAUCAGCUUGUUGGUGUGGUAGUGGCUUACCAAGGCUUUGACGGGUAGCCGGCCUGAGAGGGUGACCGGCGACAUUGGGACUGAGAGACGGCCCAGACUGCUACGGGAGGCAGAAGUGGGGAAUAUUGCAGAAUGGGGGGGAGCCAGAUGCAGCAACGCCGCGUGCGGGAUGCCGGCCUUCGGGUGGUAAACCGCUUUCGCCUGUGACGAAGCGUGAGUGACGGUAAUGGGUAAAGAAGCACCGGCUAACUACGUG
rnacentral:rRNA from 1 species